GAAAAGGCCGACCCAGAACUAACUGAAAAUUCAAGCCACUUAAAUACUGUGAAAAGUGUGAUGCAAACUAAAACAAAAUAAUAAAUAAAGUCCAUUAGACCAUUGAACCAUGCAACAAAAGUUGCUGCAAUCAAAUGUAAAGAUUUGCGACAUCAUUGUUGCACUAAGAUAUGCACAGGUGCACACUUUCUCAGUCCAAUGCCACUUUAAGGUACACUGUUCAUUGAUUUUAUUAAUUCACUUAUUUCAUCAACCAUAAUAUUUGGAUAAUAAAUACUAAUAAACCAACAUUUGCUUCAUUUAUGUAAGCAUCCAUACGUCAGGUGUUUUAGCAAAAGUAUAAGAGAGUACCAAAACAGCACAAAUAUAAACAAGCUCCUACCAAUUAAGUCAGCAGUAAUUAAAGGUGAGAGGAAAAUCACCUAACUGGACGACCAUGUUUAAUC
rnacentral:misc_RNA from 1 species